rnacentral:rRNA from 1 species
UACGUAGGGGGCAAGCGUUGUCCGGAAUCAUUGGGCGUAAAGCGCGUGUAGGCGGUUCGGUAAGUCUGCUGUGAAAGUCCAGGGCUCAACCCUGGGAUGCCGGUGGAUACUGUCGGACUAGAGUACGGAAGAGGCGAGUGGAAUUCCCGGUGUAGCGGUGAAAUGCGCAGAUAUCGGGAAGGAACACCAAUUGCGAAGGCAGCUCGCUGGGACGUCACUGACGCUGAGACGCGAAAGCGUGGGAGCAACAGG